rnacentral:ncRNA from 1 species
AUGAGUGCAAAGACAGCCAGGAGGUUUUCCUAGAAGCAGCCAACCUUGAAAGAGUGUGUAAUAGCUCACUAAUCGAGCGCUCUUGCGCUGAAGAUGAACGGGACUAAGCGAUAUGCCGAAGAUGUGGGAUGUAAAAAUACAUCGGUAGGGGAGCAUUCCGCCUCAGAGGGAAGCAUUGGCGCAAGAAGGUGUGGACGAAGCAGAAGCAAGAAUGUCGGCUUGAGUAAUGCAAACAUUGGUGAGAAUCCAAUGCCUCAAAAACCUAAGGGUUCCUCCGCAAGGUUCAUCCACGGAGGGUGAGUUAGGGCCUAAGAUCAGGCCGAAAGGCGUAGUCGAUGGACAACAGUUUAUAUUCUUGUACUACCCCUUGUUGGUCCCGAGGGAUGGAGGAGGCUAGGUUAGCCGAAAUAUGGUUAUCGGUUCAAGGACGCAAGGUGACCCUACUUUUUUCAAGGUAAGAAGGGGUAGAGAAAAUGCCUCGAGCCAAUGUCCAAGUACCAAGCACUACAACGCUGAAGUAACCCAUGCCAUACUCCCAGGAAAAGCUCGAACGACCUUUAACAAAUGGGUACCUGUACCCGAAACCGACACAGGUAGGUAGGUAGAGAAUAC